rnacentral:tRNA from 1 species
GGCGGCGUAGCUCAGUUGGUUAGAGCACCGGAAUCAUAAUCCGGGUGUCCGGGGUUCGAGUCCCUGCGCCGCCACUA